rnacentral:rRNA from 1 species
GAUGAACGCUGGCGGCGUGCCUAAUACAUGCAAGUCGAGCGAACGGACGAGAAGCUUGCUUCUCUGAUGUUAGCGGCGGACGGGUGAGUAACACGUGGAUAACCUACCUAUAAGACUGGGAUAACUUCGGGAAACCGGAGCUAAUACCGGAUAAUAUUUUAAACCUAAUGGUUCAAAAGUGAAAGACGAUCUUGCUGUCACUUAUAGAUGGAUCCGCGCUGCAUUAGCUAUUUGGUAAGGUAACGGCUUACCAAGGCAACGAUGCAUAGCCGACCUGAGAGGGUGAUCGGCCACACUGGAACUGAGACACGGUCCAGACUCCUACGGGAGGCAGCAGUAGGGAAUCUUCCGCAAUGGGCGAAAGCCUGACGGAGCAACGCCGCGUGAGUGAUGAAGGUCUUCGGAUCGUAAAACUCUGUUAUUAGGGAAGAACAUAUGUGUAAGUAACUGUGCACAUCUUGACGGUACCUAAUCAGAAAGCCACGGCUAACCACGUG